CACAGAUCUACACCCAUGCUGCAUUGAGAAUACCUGUGCUUGAAGCUGUGCUACCUGAGCUACAGAUGAGGGCUUCAGGCUGCCACAGACCUUGUGGCGUGAGGCUGGGCUGUGCGUGUUUCCAGUAGCACUACAAGUUCAUAAAGCCUUCCCUUCUCCCUUUGCUCCAGGAUGAGGUACAUGGGCUGGAGGAGAGCUGCUGCGCUGGGAAAGGAAGAGCCCGGAGGAGCUUCAGUGAUGAAGCAUCACCCGGUAGGUGAAAUACUAGAUCGGGUGUGCUCUCUACCAAUUACAACGUCGCUUCCAUUUCCUGGGUGCCACCAAGGGCUAGGUGCGGUGCUGAGCUCUUCACAUGCAUCAGCUCAUUGAAUCCUGUGAGGUAUGUGCUAUAUACCCACCUUACAGAGGGAAAACCGAGGCCCGAGAUCACUGAGCGAGUGAUAAGCAGGGAGGGUUUUCAAGGCCCACAGCUGUUAACCUACCUGCUGUGGCGUCUAGCAGGGUCUCCAGGACGCUGGAGC